rnacentral:rRNA from 1 species
AUACGUAGGUGGCAAGCGUUGUCCGGAUUUAUUGGGCGUAAAGCGAGCGCAGGCGGUUUCUUAAGUCUGAUGUGAAAGCCCCCGGCUCAACCGGGGAGGGUCAUUGGAAACUGGGAGACUUGAGUGCAGAAGAGGAGAGUGGAAUUCCAUGUGUAGCGGUGAAAUGCGUAGAUAUAUGGAGGAACACCAGUGGCGAAGGCGACUCUCUGGUCUGUAACUGACGCUGAGGCUCGAAAGCGUGGGGAGCAAACAGGAUUAGAUACCCUGGUAGUCCACGCCGUAAACGAUGAGUGCUAAGUGUUGGAGGGUUUCCGCCCUUCAGUGCUGCAGCUAACGCAUUAAGCACUCCGCCUGGGGAGUACGACCUCAAGGUUGAAACUCAAAUGAAUUGACGGGG